CCUACGGGGGACAGCAGUGAGGAAUAUUGGUCAAUGGCCGUAAGGCUGAACCAGCCAAGUCGCGUGAAGGAAGACGGAUCUAUGGUUUGUAAACUUCUUUUAUAGGGGAAUAAAGGUAUCCACGUGUGGAUAUUUUCAUGUAACCUAUGAAUAAGCAUCGGCUAACUCCGUGCCAGCAGCCGCGGUAAUACGGAGGAUGCGAGCGUUAUCCGGAUUUAUUGGGUUUAAAGGGUGCGCAGGCGGAUUUUUAAGUCAGCGGUAAAAUCGUGGGGCUCAACCCCAUCCAGCCGUUGAAACUGGGGAUCUAGAGUGUGCGAGAGGUAUGCGGAAUGCGUGGUGUAGCGGUGAAAUGCAUAGAUAUCACGCAGAACCCCGAUUGCGAAGGCAGCAUACCGGUGCACAACUGACGCUCAGGCACGAAAGCGUGGGUAUCGAACAGGAUUAGAUACCCUUGUAGUC
rnacentral:rRNA from 1 species